CUUUUGACCAGCUGGUCUCUUUCAUAAUACAUCUUGAGUGUGGGGCUGGUCUACGCUUCAGUGUGUUCCCAAGGUCUGACUCAAGAUCUGACACAUGCUGAAUAAGUGUUGGAGGACGGACUGGAUCUUCCUUGUCAUGGGGAAGUAUCUUUUUUCACUCCUUCAUCCCCUCAACAAAUACUUCCUGAGGACCUACCAUGUAUCAAGCAUACGAAGUACAGUCUAGGCCCAGAGAAUACAGCAAUUCUCAAAUGCCUGCUCUCAGGAGCUUCCACGCUAGUGCUGGCAUAGCAGAAGUGACCAAGAAGACUGAGUUUUGAGUGAGAGACAUACAUUAUAAAAUACAUACAAGUGACGGACAAAGGCUCCCAGCACUCGCAAGUGAGCAUUUCCUCUGAACGUCUCAUGGAGCCUCAAGCUCAGUCCACACAGAACCAGCUCCUCGUUUUCUCUCCAGUCUCAGAGAAUUGAGAUUCACGCCAGCCACCAUCACCACAUCCCCCGGAUGCUGCAGAGCCUUCUCGCCAAACCCCGUGAGUCUGCUCUGGACACGGUCCCCUUUCCCGUCCCACCCCGAUGCUCUGCAAAGGACACCCACCCUGUUCAGAUCCAAAGAUGAAUGUCCUAGCAUGAGAGGAAUGUCAGAAACGCCUCACUGCCUAGCCCAUAGUCCUGAUUCUGCGAGUUGGAAGGAUGAAGGUUGAUGCUGGGUAACUAUCUAGAAUGAUGGAGUAGGGUGUAGGGAAUAAGUUUUGGAGUUAGACACACCUGGCUUCAAAUCUCAAAUCUCUCACUGCCUUGCUCUGUGACCUAGGACACAUCAACAUCUUUGGUCCUUGGUUUUCUCAUCUGUAAAAAGGGAUAAUGACACUGAGCUCUGUGGCACAGACUCUCUUGGCCUAAAUACUACAUACCAUAGAGAAAAAAUAAUGUAAGCCAUGAAUAGCACUCACACAUAAUGAGUUCUCAGUAAAUGGUAAUGAGCUAAAAAGAUUAUUUUCAGAUAGUAAGUCUUUUUCUCCUUAGUGAAAACUACCAUUCCUAUAGAAUCCUGGUCCUGCUCCGGAUGAAACACUUCAUUACUGGAAAGUUCAGAUGCCUGUAUAACCUUCUCUAAAUUGAUCACAUUUUUGUGUGGAGAUAAUCUAACCCCCCUUCUAGUGUAACUGAGAUGGAAGAUCCUUUCUGUUCCUAACAUGUGAGAGCCAGUUAUCUCUAGCUUUUUUAGGCUUUGAGCUUCUUUUUUUGUUUCGUUUAAUUUAUAAAUUUAUUUAUUUUAUUUU